ensembl:processed_transcript 1810059H22Rik RIKEN cDNA 1810059H22 gene
CCUGCUCUCUUGGCGCUGCAGCUGAGGGUCACGUGGCAGCUGCUCCACCAGGGCUCUAUGAAUGACCGCUUGCUCCCAGCUCCCAAGAUGCUUCCAGGCUCUUCCUUCCUGGUUGUGGAUGCAGAGCUGGAAACCGGAAAUUCCCUCUGUUGUAAGUCCCCUUCCGUAGGAGCUGUCCUCACCGGAGCUUGACAGAGCCGAGCUUGAGUUCUGAGAGCAAGGUAGUAUGACACUAAGACACUGAGAGAAGUGAAUUUCUUGUUACUUGCUCUUCCAUCUUUUCUGCACCUCAGCACUCAGUGGCCCUCAUUCUUGCCUUCAGAUGAAGAUGUUGAACUCUCAGCUCCUCCUUCACCAUGCCUGCCUGGAUGAUGCCAUGUUCCUGCCUUGAUGAUACUGGACUGAACCUCUGAACCUGACUGAGUCACUGGAGCAUCUAUCUGCACGCUGCGGUUUCGACUUUCCCCCAAGUGCAUAGCGACAGUACUGACGUUGCUACGGAAGUCAAGGAAAAGCCUUCCGCCUCCUCAGGCCUUCUUGC